GUGCUCACUUCGGCAGCACAUAUACUAAAAUUGGAACAAUACAGAAAAGAUUAGCAUGGCCUCUGCACAAGGAUGACAGCAAAUUUGUGACCGUUCCAUAUUAAA
rnacentral:snRNA from 1 species